CGAGAAGCCGGUAAACGGCUCGGCAACACGGACUGGAGCGAGAGUUUCAGAGCGCUACAGGAGGAAAAGAAACCAGGCAGGAAGCAUCUGCACCUGUUUUGGCAAAGUUGGUGAGGUGGCGUGUGAUGAGAUCCUGGAAGCUCUUGUCUUUGUCAGAGAGCGGCUUGCCCAGGAAGAACUCCAGUCCUCCGAAGAAAGCCACGGCGUCCAGACUGUGAAAGGCGAAGCGGCUUGGGAACGGCAGCAGAUCGCCGGUCGUGUUGACCGGUCCCGAUGGCGUGUGCGUCCCCACAUAUCGAUACACAGGACUGUUGAGGGCCGCUGCAGACAGGGGAGGUUUCAACGAAUCAGUAACUCUGGAAUCUUUCUUAAUUUGACCAUAAUUAUGAAAUAAACUAGUGUGUGUGUUCAGGGUGAUGAAGGAACAUGUGACCCAGUGCAGCUGCGAGGCUCACUGAUGGGUUUUAAUAGUUUCUGGAUAAACAAAGGAGCUCUAAGGCUCAGAGGAAGAAGCGACACAAGGUCUUGUUAGUAGAUACAGUCACUGCUGGUUCGAGUCAUUUAUGAGCUGUUCUAAGAAAAACAUAGAUCACUUGUGUUUUUAUGCUGCUUUGUUGAAUUUGGCUUUCAUUGAAUAUUUGAGCUAAAACGUCCUGCAGUUUGAGAAGCUGCUGAAAAUGCUAAAUGGCAUGAGCCAUCAAAAAAACAACCUUAUUCAAUCUUCAAUCCAGACUGCAUAACAUAAAAACAAAACAAUCAUCCAGAAAAAUAAAUACUUCUCUCAGGAUGUCUAAAUGUCAGUUUAGUCCGAGCUUCACUGCAGAGUGAGCUUAACAAACCCCACGGACACAAAACCUACAUUAAGCCCAAUUCUGCUGCAGUGCAAACUCAUUCAGGAGCUGCAUACGUUACACAGCGGGACGUCGGCCUAAAUUUGUUAUUCAGAAUAAAAACAACUUGUAAUGCAUGCUCUAAUAUACUAAUGUGCUGCAUGAAGGGAGACCAUUUUACUUCAGCUGUGAGCACAGAAAGCACGGCCGGCUUUACUGAGACCAAUAAAUUGUUCCCUGUGGACACGAAGACAUUCAAAACACGGCUGUAUUCAAAACACAUACAGUAUUUUAACAUACGAGACGAAGCUCUACGGACAGAGGGUGCCGUAUGCUGUACAGACUAUAAAGCCCCAGAAGGCAAACUUAUAUUUGGUUAUACUGGGCUGUAGAAAUAAAACACAGACUUGGCAUACUGACUCAUAUUUUGUUAUGUUUAAAGUUGCUGUUCUUACUCUUGUAAAAGAGAGUGAAUAAAUUGAGGCAUAUUUUGGCUCAUUUAUCAGGGCUCUGAUCCACAGGACCCAGAGCCCUUCUGGUUUUUAAUGCAGCCCUUUAAUCAUCAGCAAUCACUGAUCCGUUUUAAUCCUAGGAAACAAGCUAGGUUUCAAUUCACUUCCUGGCAGGACAGAGAAUCAGCAGGGCUGCAGGAGAAGCAGUUGCAGAAUCUUAAACAGAGCAGAUUUAAAGCACUUUAAUAUGGAAAGAAAAAAGCUUUUUUGAGUUUACCUGCCGCCCUCGAGGCCAGUUCGUUGCUGGGACAGGUGACCCGGAUGUCGGACACCAUGGUGGUGUAGGCCCUCUCUGGACAGCGGUCUGCGGUGGGGCAGGGGGCGGAGGUCGGAUACAGGUUCAACGCCUCUUUGGGGAGAUCCUCUCUGAAGGUCCGAAGUUUUUCUGUGUGGAGCGGAGAGGUGACGGGACGAGACACUGAAGAUAUUUACAGAGGCUACACGCAGCAGGCAGCUGUUACCUGUUACAAACCACUGGUAGUCGCUCCACGUCCACAUGGAGAUGUUUUCAGCCGGGGGGCUGCAGAGGAAACACAGAGGGCUGAGUACAGUUUGAUCACAGUAACACUCGACAGCGAUGAACCCGAACCAGAUGAGCGCUCACCUGUAGUCCGCCUCCUGCUCUGUCGUCCCGAUGAGGAAAGGAACGUCGCUGUGGUCGCCUUUCUUCUCCCACACCUCAAAAGGUGGAGCUUCGAGGACGUAUCCGUCCACCACUGCCACCGGGCCGAUGAAGCGCCCUUUAACGGGGAGAUCUGUUAGAUCGUCCGCUGCCCAGGAGGGGUACUCCUGCCACGGGAUGUUCUGGGAAGGAAAAAGGAGUUUGUGCAGUUUGACUUUUGGAUUAAAAGGUUCAGAGAGAAGAAAAUAGAGCUGGAAUAAACUGACGUUUAUGCCUGUGAAAUUCAGACUUAUACUAUUAGCCUAGUGUUUUGCAUUUUACAUUCAAGUUCUACAAGUUCUUGUUUCAAGUCGUUUUAUUUUUUGCUUUUAUGGUUUUGUCGUAAUCUGAAUAAUUCUACACUUGUGAUGUUUAUAAAAACAAUAGUUACUAGAACAGUAGUAACUAUGAUUAUGAUAUAAUGAAUAUUAAAAUAUUACUGCCACUAAUAAAUACUACAAUACAAUAUAAGAUUUAUGUAUUUUGCCAUAUGGCUGUACUGUCUGGGUAUAAAUGUAUGUGUACAUAUUUUCUAUUCUGCAACACUUCUCUGGCGCAAUAAAAGAAAUUUAAAA